rnacentral:rRNA from 1 species
CCAGCAGCUGCGGUAAUUCCUGCUCCAGUAGCGUAUGUUAACAUUGUUGCUGUUAAAAAGCUCGUAGUUGGAUUUCUGGCGGGGUCACUCCCGGUCGGCCUCGGCGUCCUUCGGGUCCCUUGCGCCGCCGGGACACUUGCACCCCCCUGUCUCGCGCUCGCGCCGUCCCCCUUAACUGGGGGGCGGACGGGCGCGUCUUUCACUGAGAGUAAAUCAGAGCGUUCAAAGCGGGCAGUUAUGCUUGAAUGCUUGAGCUUGGAAUGAUGAGAUGGGCGUCUUGGUCUAUUUAGUUGGUUUGCGGCCUUUACGUAGGUUUAACAGGAACAGUUGGAGGUAUUCGUAUGGUGGCGUCAGGGGUGAAAUACUAGGAUCGACGCAAGACGAACGACUGCGAAAGUAUUUACAGAGGAGUUUUUCAGUAUCAAAGAACGAAAGA